rnacentral:rRNA from 1 species
UACGGGGGGGAGCAAGCGUUGUUCGGAUUUACUGGGCGUAAAGGGCGCGUAGGCGGUCAGCACAAGUCAGUUGUGAAAUCUCCGAGCUUAACUCGGAAAGGUCAACUGAUACUGUGCGACUAGAGUGCAGAAGGGGCAACUGGAAUUCUCGGUGUAGCGGUGAAAUGCGUAGAUAUCGAGAGGAACACCUGCGGCGAAGGCGGGUUGCUGGGCUGACACUGACGCUGAGGCGCGAAAGCUAGGGGAGCGAACGGG